AUGCUCACCUUUGUCAGUGCAUCCAGUUCAGGGGCCGUGAAGGAGGGAAAUGCUUCUUAUGAAAAAGCCUCACUUCCAGCUAACCUGGGUUCUACUGGCGACAUUGUGCUGACCCAGUCUCCACCUUCACUGACUGUGUCUCUAGGGCAAAAAGCCACCAUGUCCUGCAGGUCCAGCCAGAGUAUCACUCUACAUAGUAUUAUUCAUUAUCUUUACUGGUAUCAACAGAAACCAGGACAGCCCCCCAAACUCCUCAUCUAUAAAGCAUCCAACCUAGCAUCUGGGGUCCCUGCCAGGUUCAGUGGCAGUGGGUCUGGGACAGACUUCACCCUCACCAUCUAUCCUGUGGAGGCUGAUGAUGCUGCAACCUAUUACUGUCAGCAGAGUAAGGAGUUUCCUCCCACAGUGUUCCACAGCUAA